GGUUAACCGAAUAGGGGAGCCGAAGGGAAACCGAGUCUUAACUGGGCGUUAAGUUGCAGGGUAUAGACCCGAAACCCGGUGAUCUAGCCAUGGGCAGGUUGAAGGUUGGGUAACACUAACUGGAGGACCGAACCGACUAAUGUUGAAAAAUUAGCGGAUGACUUGUGGCUGGGGGUGAAAGGCCAAUCAAACCGGGAGAUAGCUGGUUCUCCCCGAAAGCUAUUUAGGUAGCGCCUCGUGAAUUCAUCUUCGGGGGUAGAGCACUGUUUCGGCUAGGGGGUCAUCCCGACUUACCAACCCGAUGCAAACUGCGAAUACCGAAGAAUGUUAUCACGGGAGACACACGGCGGGUGCUAACGUCCGUCGUGAAGAGGGAAACAACCCAGACCGCCAGCUAAGGUCCCAAAGUCAUGGUUAAGUGGGAAACGAUGUGGGAAGGCACAGACAGCCAGGAUGUUGGCUUAGAAGCAGCCAUCAUUUAAAGAAAGCGUAAUAGCUCACUGGUCGAGUCGGCCUGCGCGGAAGAUGUAACGGGGCUAAACCAUGCACCGAAGCUGCGGCAGCGACACUAUGUGUUGUUGGGUAGGGGAGCGUUCUGUAAGCCGUUGAAGGUGGCCUGUGAGGGUUGCUGGAGGUAUCAGAAGUGCGAAUGCUGACAUAAGUAACGAUAAUGCGGGUGAAAAACCCGCACGCCGGAAGACCAAGGGUUCCUGUCCAACGUUAAUCGGGGCAGGGUGAGUCGACCCCUAAGGCGAGGCCGAAAGGCGUAGUCGAUGGGAAACAGGUUAAUAUUCCUGUACUUGGUGUUACUGCGAAGGGGGGACGGAGAAGGCUAUGUUAGCCGGGCGACGGUUGUCCCGGUUUAAGCAUGUAGGCGGAGGUUCCAGGUAAAUCCGGUACCUUAUUAACGCUGAGGUGUGAUGACGAGGCACUACGGUGCUGAAGUAAUAAAUGCCCUGCUUCCAGGAAAAGCCUCUAAGCAUCAGGUAACACGAAAUCGUACCCCAAACCGACACAGGUGGUCAGGUAGAGAAUACCAAGGCGCUUGAGAGAACUCGGGUGAAGGAACUAGGCAAAAUGGUGCCGUAACUUCGGGAGAAGGCACGCUGAUAUGUAGGUGAAGUGGUUUACCCAUGGAGCUGAAAUCAGUCGAAGAUACCAGCUGGCUGCAACUGUUUAUUAAAAACACAGCACUGUGCAAACACGAAAGUGGACGUAUACGGUGUGACGCCUGCCCGGUGCCGGAAGGUUAAUUGAUGGGGUUAUCCGUAAGGAGAAGCUCUUGAUCGAAGCCCCGGUAAACGGCGGCCGUAACUAUAACGGUCCUAAGGUAGCGAAAUUCCUUGUCGGGUAAGUUCCGACCUGCACGAAUGGCGUAAUGAUGGCCAGGCUGUCUCCACCCGAGACUCAGUGAAAUUGAACUCGCUGUGAAGAUGCAGUGUACCCGCGGCAAGACGGAAAGACCCCGUGAACCUUUACUAUAGCUUGACACUGAACACUGGUCCUUGAUGUGUAGGAUAGGUGGGAGGCUUUGAAGUGUGGACGCCAGUCUGCAUGGAGCCAUCCUUGAAAUACCACCCUUUAAUGGCUGGUGUUCUAACGUAGACCCGUAAUCCGGGUUGCGGACAGUGUCUGGUGGGUAGUUUGACUGGGGCGGUCUCCUCCUAAAGAGUAACGGAGGAGCACGAAGGUUAGCUAAUCCUGGUCGGACAUCAGGAGGUUAGUGCAAAGGCAUAAGCUAGCUUGACUGCGAGAGUGACGGCUCGAGCAGGUGCGAAAGCAGGUCUUAGUGAUCCGGUGGUUCUGAAUGGAAGGGCCAUCGCUCAACGGAUAAAAGGUACUCCGGGGAUAACAGGCUGAUACCGCCCAAGAGUUCAUAUCGACGGCGGUGUUUGGCACCUCGAUGUCGGCUCAUCACAUCCUGGGGCUGAAGUAGGUCCCAAGGGUAUGGCUGUUCGCCAUUUAAAGUGGUACGCGAGCUGGGUUUAGAACGUCGUGAGACAGUUCGGUCCCUAUCUGCCGUGGGCGCUGGAGAAUUGAGGGGGGCUGCUCCUAGUACGAGAGGACCGGAGUGGACGCAUCACUGGUGUUCGGGUUGUCAUGCCAAUGGCAUUGCCCGGUAGCUAAAUGCGGAAGAGAUAAGUGCUGAAAGCAUCUAAGCACGAAACUUGCCCCGAGAUGAGUUCUCCCUGACUCCUUGAGAGUCCUGAAGGAACGUUGAAGACGACGACGUUGAUAGGUCGGGUGUGUAAGUGUAGCGAUACAUUGAGCUAACCGAUACUAAUGAACCGUGAGGCUUAACCUU
rnacentral:rRNA from 1 species